GCAGGUUGAAGCGCGGGUAAGACCGCGUGGAGGACCGAACCCACCUGGGUUGAAAACCGGGGGGAUGACCUGGGGCUAGGGGUGAAAGGCCAAUCAAAUUCCGUGAUAGCUGGUUCUCUCCGAAAUGCAUUUGGGUGCAGCGUCGGGUCAUUACGUCCCGGGGGUAGAGCUACUGGAUGCUUGCGGGCCCGUAUCGGGUACCAACAGCAACCAAACUCCGAAUACCGGUGACGCGUAUCCCGGCAGUGAGUCGGCGGGGGAUAAGCUUCGUCGUCGAAAGGGAAACAGCCCAGACCGUCGUCUAAGGUCCCGAAGCGUGUGCUAAGUGGGAAAGGAUGUGGAGUCGCAUAGACAGCCAGGAGGUUGGCUCAGAAGCAGCCACCCUUGAAAGAGUGCGUAACAGCUCACUGGUCUAGUGGUUCCGCGCCGACAAUGUAGCGGGGCUCAAGCACACCACCGAAGACGCGGCAGCGGCCUUUGCGGCCGUUGGGUAGGAGAGCGUCCCGCGUGGGGCGAAGCGGCCGGGGAACCGUGCCGUGGACCGCGCGGGAGUGAGAAUGCAGACAUGAGUAGCGAGAGACGGGUGAGGAUCCCGUCCGCUGGAUGACCAAGGGUUCCGGGGCCACGUUCGUCGUCCCCGGGUGAGUCGGGUCCUAAGGCGAGGCCGACAGGCGUAGUCGAAUGGAUGAACGGGUGGAUAUUCCCGUACCGGCGGCGUACCGUAAGAGCCGAACGGAUGAGUACUAACCUCCGGUCGCGUGGCGUCGUUCCCUUCGGGGUUCGGGGUCGCGUGGCUGUUGGGAGCGUAGUCCCGGUAGGCUAGCGCACAGGGGUGACACGGAAUGGGAGCCGGCCGCGGAGGUGGUUUUCCGUGGUCAAGCACGCAGCCCGUCCCAUAGGCAAAUCCGUGGGACGCAUAGGGUGAGGUGUGAUGAUGGGCGUCCUUUGGACGCGAUAUCCGGUGGUCCAGGCCGUCGAGAAAAGCCUCGGCGCGAGGGGCGUCGCCGCCCGUACCCCAAACCGACACUGGUGGUCAGGUAGAGAAUACCAAGGCGAUCGAGCGAAUCCUGGUCAAGGAACUCGGCAAAUCACUCCCGUUCCUUCGGUUUAAGGGAGACCCCCGAUGGUGAACACACUUGCUGUGGGAGCUUUUGGGGGUGGCACAGACCAGGGGGUAGCGACUGUUUACCAAAAACACAGGUGCAUGCGAAGGCGCAAGCCGCUGUAUAUGCACUGACGCCUGCCCGGUGCCGGAAGGUUAAGAGGAUCCGUCAGCCUUCGGGUGAAGCGGUGAAUUCAAGCCCCGGUAAACGGCGGUGGUAACUAUAACCAUCCUAAGGUAGCGAAAUUCCUUGUCGGGUAAGUUCCGACCUGCACGAAUGGCGUAACGA
rnacentral:rRNA from 1 species